rnacentral:rRNA from 1 species
CGCUGGCGGCACGCCUUAUACAUGCAAGUCGAACGAAGUAGCAAUACUUAGUGGCAGACGGGUGAGUAACAUGUAGGUAUCUUCCCUUUGGUGAGGAAUAACACGAGGAAACUUGUGCUAAUACCUCAUAAGUCUUUACGGAGAAAGCUUUAUGCGCCGAAGGAUGAGCCUGCACUUGAUUAGUUUGUUGGUGGGGUAAUGGCCUACCAAGACUUUGAUCUAUAGCUGAUCUGAGAGGAUGAUCAGCCACAUUGGGACUGAGACACGGCCCAAACUCCUACGGGAGGCAGCAGUAGGGAAUAUUGCACAAUGGAGGAAACUCUGAUGCAGCGAUGCCGCGUGAGUGAAGAAGGCCUUUGGGUUGUAAAGCUCUUUCGUCGGGGAAGAAAAUGACUGUACCCGAAUAAGAAGGUCCGGCUAACUUCGUGCCAGCAGCCGCGGUAAUACGAAGGGACCUAGCGUAGUUCGGAAUUACUGGGCUUAAAGAGUUCGUAGGUGGUUAAAAAAGUUGGUGGUGAAAUCCCAGAGCUUAACUCUGGAACUGCCAUCAAAACUUUUUAGCUAGAGUAUGAUAGAGGAAAGCAGAAUUUCUAGUGUAGAGGUGAAAUUCGUAGAUAUUAGAAAGAAUACCAAUUGCGAAGGCAGCUUUCUGGAUCAUUACUGACGCUGAGGAACGAAAGCAUGGGUAGCGAAGAGGAUUAGAUACCCUCGUAGUCCAUGCCGUAAACGAUGUGUGUUAGACGUUGGAAAUUUAUUUUCAGUGUCGCAGCGAAAGCAUUAAACACACCGCCUGGGGAG